AGUAACGCGUGAGGAACCUGCCUCAAAGAGGGGGACAACAGUUGGAAACGACUGCUAAUACCGCAUAAGCCCACGGCUCGGCAUCGAGCAGAGGGAAAAGGAGUGAUCCGCUUUGAGAUGGCCUCGCGUCCGAUUAGCUAGUUGGUGAGGUAAUGGCCCACCAAGGCGACGAUCGGUAGCCGGACUGAGAGGUUGAACGGCCACACUGGGACUGAGACACGGCCCAG
rnacentral:rRNA from 1 species